rnacentral:rRNA from 1 species
GGUUAAGCGACUAAGCGUACACGGUGGAUGCCCUGGCAGUCAGAGGCGAUGAAGGGCGUGCUAAUCUGCGAUAAGCGCCGGUAAGGUGAUAUGAACCGUUAUAACCGGCGAUACCCGAAUGGGGAAACCCAGUGUGAUUCGUCACACUAUCAUUAACUGAAUCCAUAGGUUAAUGAGGCGAACCGGGGGAACUGAAACAUCUAAGUACCCCGAGGAAAAGAAAUCAACCGAGAUUCCCCCAGUAGCGGCGAGCGAACGGGGAGGAGCCCAGAGCCUGAAUCAGCAUGUGUGUUAGUGGAAGCGUCUGGAAAGGCGCGCGAUACAGGGUGACAGCCCCGUACACAAAAGCGCAUGUGCUGUGAGCUCGAUGAGUAGGGCGGGACACGUGGUAUCCUGUCUGAAUAUGGGGGGACCAUCCUCCAAGGCUAAAUACUCCUGACUGACCGAUAGUGAACCAGUACCGUGAGGGAAAGGCGAAAAGAACCCCGGCGAGGGGAGUGAAAAAGAACCUGAAACCGUGUACGUACAAGCAGUGGGAGCACAGGUUUACCUGUGUGACUGCGUACCUUUUGUAUAAUGGGUCAGCGACUUAUAUUCUGUAGCAAGGUUAACCGUAUAGGGGAGCCGUAGGGAAACCGAGUCUUAACCGGGCGUUAAGUUGCAGGGUAUAGACCCGAAACCCGGUGAUCUAGCCAUGGGCAGGUUGAAGGUUGGGUAACACUAACUGGAGGACCGAACCGACUAAUGUUGAAAAAUUAGCGGAUGACCUGUGGCUGGGGGUGAAAGGCCAAUCAAACCGGGAGAUAGCUGGUUCUCCCCGAAAGCUAUUUAGGUAGCGCCUCGUGAAUUCAUCUCCGGGGGUAGAGCACUGUUUCGGCUAGGGGGCCAUCCCGGCUUACCAACCCGAUGCAAACUGCGAAUACCGGAGAAUGUUAUCACGGGAGACACACGGCGGGUGCUAACGUCCGUCGUGAAGAGGGAAACAACCCAGACCGCCAGCUAAGGUCCCAAAGUCAUGGUUAAGUGGGAAACGAUGUGGGAAGGCCCAGACAGCCAGGAUGUUGGCUUAGAAGCAGCCAUCAUUUAAAGAAAGCGUAAUAGCUCACUGGUCGAGUCGGCCUGCGCGGAAGAUGUAACGGGGCUAAACCAUGCACCGAAGCUGCGGCAGCGACACUGUGUGUUGUUGGGUAGGGGAGCGUUCUGUAAGCCUGUGAAGGUGUGUCGUGAGGCAUGCUGGAGGUAUCAGAAGUGCGAUGCUGACAUAAGUAACGAUAAAGCGGGUGAAAAGCCCGCUCGCCGGAAGACCAAGGGUUCCUGUCCAACGUUAAUCGGGGCAGGGUGAGUCGACCCCUAAGGCGAGGCCGAAAGGCGUAGUCGAUGGGAAACGGGUUAAUAUUCCCGUACUUGGUGUUACUGCGAAGGGGGGACGGAGAAGGCUAUGUUGGCCGGGCGACGGUUGUCCCGGUUUAAGCGUGUAGGUGUGUGUUCCAGGUAAAUCCGGUUCACUUUAACACUGAGGCGUGAUGACGAGGCACUACGGUGCUGAAGCAACAAAUGCCCUGCUUCCAGGAAAAGCCUCUAAGCAUCAGGUAACAUCAAAUCGUACCCCAAACCGACACAGGUGGUCAGGUAGAGAAUACCAAGGCGCUUGAGAGAACUCGGGUGAAGGAACUAGGCAAAAUGGUGCCGUAACUUCGGGAGAAGGCACGCUGACACGUAGGUGAAGUGAUUUACUCAUGGAGCUGAAGUCAGUCGAAGAUACCAGCUGGCUGCAACUGUUUAUUAAAAACACAGCACUGUGCAAACACGAAAGUGGACGUAUACGGUGUGACGCCUGCCCGGUGCCGGAAGGUUAAUUGAUGGGGUCAGCGCAAGCGAAGCUCCUGAUCGAAGCCCCGGUAAACGGCGGCCGUAACUAUAACGGUCCUAAGGUAGCGAAAUUCCUUGUCGGGUAAGUUCCGACCUGCACGAAUGGCGUAAUGAUGGCCAGGCUGUCUCCACCCGAGACUCAGUGAAAUUGAACUCGCUGUGAAGAUGCAGUGUACCCGCGGCAAGACGGAAAGACCCCGUGAACCUUUACUAUAGCUUGACACUGAACAUUGAGCCUUGAUGUGUAGGAUAGGUGGGAGGCUUUGAAGCGUGGACGCCAGUCUGCGUGGAGCCGACCUUGAAAUACCACCCUUUAAUGUUUGAUGUUCUAACGUGGACCCGUAAUCCGGGUUGCGGACAGUGUCUGGUGGGUAGUUUGACUGGGGCGGUCUCCUCCUAAAGAGUAACGGAGGAGCACGAAGGUUGGCUAAUCCUGGUCGGACAUCAGGAGGUUAGUGCAAUGGCAUAAGCCAGCUUGACUGCGAGCGUGACGGCGCGAGCAGGUGCGAAAGCAGGUCAUAGUGAUCCGGUGGUUCUGAAUGGAAGGGCCAUCGCUCAACGGAUAAAAGGUACUCCGGGGAUAACAGGCUGAUACCGCCCAAGAGUUCAUAUCGACGGCGGUGUUUGGCACCUCGAUGUCGGCUCAUCACAUCCUGGGGCUGAAGUAGGUCCCAAGGGUAUGGCUGUUCGCCAUUUAAAGUGGUACGCGAGCUGGGUUUAGAACGUCGUGAGACAGUUCGGUCCCUAUCUGCCGUGGGCGCUGGAGAACUGAGGGGGCUGCUCCUAGUACGAGAGGACCGGAGUGGACGCAUCACUGGUGUUCGGGUUGUCAUGCCAAUGGCACUGCCCGGUAGCUAAAUGCGGAAGAGAUAAGUGCUGAAAGCAUCUAAGCACGAAACUUGCCCCGAGAUGAGUUCUCCCUGAGACUUAGAGUCUCCUGAAGGAACGUUGAAGACGACGACGUUGAUAGGCCGGGUGUGUAAGCGCAGCGAUGCGUUGAGCUAACCGGUACUAAUGAACCGUGAGGCUUAACCUU